AGUUGUUCAGUUACGGCCGAGCGUCCGCGCGCCUCCGAGGUUGGAGGACCGGAAGUGACCUUUCUUGCCUCCUCAAACGCUGAAGACCUUGCAAGUGAGGCCUCAAGAGGGUGGCUAGACCAGUUGUGGAAACAGCCAGUCUGAACGCCCCCCACCACUACCGGAGGCUACGCUGGAGAAGUUGCCGCCCUCUUUCCCGGUUCCUCAGCUCCGGUGACGGCCCAGCCUCCAGAUACAGACGCUCAGAGUGUGCGUCCAGGGUCAGCUACCCCAUGGGCCGACGCCCCAUUAUAAUGCUGUUACACUGCGUGUUACUGGUUCGUUUGCGCCUCUGUCUUUCUAAUAGAUUGAGCUCCCUGAUGGCAGGGACAAUAUAUAUAUUGUUUGUUUGUUUGCCUUUGCCCUUUCCUUUUAAACGUCUAGCACGCAUAAUAUAAGACAGAGGAAUCGGGUCUGAGGAGAUCGAAUACCCACCAAUAAGGAGAUUCAAAGUGGGAGUUAAUAUGGGAGCAAAGAUGAUAUCCUUCCAUCCGGACUACAGAGACUAGAGAGUAUAACAUAACACCAAGAGCUACCAUUUACCUAAAGCUUACUAGGUGUUGGAUACUGUGUGUGAAUUGUCUCAUCUAAUGCAUCUCUGUGAGUUCUCCAACCAGGGAUCGAACCUGUGGCCCCUGCAGUGGAAGCGCGGAGUCUUAACCACUGGACUGCCAGGGAAGUCCCCACAGAGAGGAGCCAGAUGGAUGCAGAGUCAGGGUCAAGAAGCAGGAUAGAGACAGCCAGAGGACACAGCCACUGAAACGGUCCCCGAGGACAUCUGGUGACAGAAGCAGACACAGAAGAGGAUGGCGAGACAGAGGCCCAGGGUCUGGGGUGAUAGCUGAAAUUCUGCAUUUCCAUCAAGCUCCCAGGGGAAGCUGAUGUUGCUGGUGCCUGGACCACACUUCAAGCAGCAAGGCUGUAGAAUUUUUACUACUAAUAUGAAAAGACAUUACCAAAAUAUGAUAAAAUGAAGAAUAGCGUGCUACAAACAAUAUGAUGCCAUUUUUAUAAGAGAUAAGAUAUGCGUGCAUAGAAAACAAAUCUAGAAGAAUAUAAAACAAAAUAUUAAUAGAGGUUUUCUCUGGGUGACACGGUUGGGUGAUUUUUAUUUUAUUCUUUAUGUUAGUUCGUAUUUUCUACAAUGGAUAUAUGGUCAUCUCUCGGUAUAUGCCAGGCACUGGUUCCAGGACCCCCCGAAGAUGCUCAAGUCCCGUAUAUAAAAUGCCGUAGGGGCUUCCCUGGUGGUCCAGUGGUUAAGACUUCACCCUCCCAGUGCAGGGCCCCAGGUUCUAUCCCUGGUCAGGGAACUAUCCCGCAUGCCUCCGCUGAGAGCCCCCAUGCCGCAACUAAAAGAUCCCGCAUGGGGCAAUGAAGAUCCCACGUGCCGCAACUAAGACCUGGC